rnacentral:siRNA from 1 species
UGAGUUGAGUUGAGUUGGAUUAC